UACGUAGGGUGCGAGCGUUAAUCGGAAUUACUGGGCGUAAAGCGUGCGCAGGCGGUUCGUUGUGUCCGUCGUGAAAGCCCCGGGCUUAACCUGGGAACUGCGAUGGAAACUAGCGAGCUGGAGUGUGGCAGAGGGGGGUGGAAUUCCGCGUGUAGCAGUGAAAUGCGUAGAUAUGUGGAGGAAUACCGAUGGCGAAGGCAGCCCCCUGGGAUAACACUGACGCUCAGGCGCGAAAGCCAGGGGAGCGAACGGG
rnacentral:rRNA from 1 species